rnacentral:rRNA from 1 species
UACGUAGGUGGCAAGCGUUGUCCGGAUUUACUGGGCGUAAAGAGCGCGCAGGCGGUUGUUUAAGUCGAAUGUGAAAGCCCCCGGCUCAACUGGGGAGGGUCAUUCGAUACUGAUCGACUUGAAGGCAGGAGAGGGAAGUGGAAUUCCGGGUGUAGUGGUGAAAUGCGUAGAUAUCCGGAGGAACACCAGUGGCGAAGGCGACUUCCUGGCCUGUUCUUGACGCUGAGGCGCGAAAGCUAGGGGAGCAACGGG